UACGUAGGGUGCAAGCGUUGUCCGGAAUUAUUGGGCGUAAAGAGCUCGUAGGCGGUUUGUCGCGUCUGCUGUGAAAACCCGAGGCUCAACCUCGGGCCUGCAGUGGGUACGGGCAGACUAGAGUGCGGUAGGGGAGAUUGGAAUUCCUGGUGUAGCGGUGGAAUGCGCAGAUAUCAGGAGGAACACCGGUGGCGAAGGCGGAUCUCUGGGCCGAUACUGACGCUGAGGAGCGAAAGCGUGGGGAGCGAACAGG
rnacentral:rRNA from 1 species